UACGUAGGGGGCAAGCGUUGUCCGGAAUCAUUGGGCGUAAAGCGCGCGUAGGCGGCUCGAUCAGUCUGCUGUGAAAGUCAAAGGCUCAACCUUUGAAUGCCGGUGGAUACUGUCGAGCUAGAGUCCGGAAGAGGCGAGUGGAAUUCCUGGUGUAGCGGUGGAAUGCGCAGAUAUCAGGAGGAACACCAACGGCGAAGGCAGCUCGCUGGGACGGUACUGACGCUAAGGCGCGAAAGCUAGGGGAGCAAACGGG
rnacentral:rRNA from 1 species